AAACCAACGUUUGAAAAGGAAGUAGUAAAAAGACGAAAGUUUUAGAGAGCACAUGGCUGGUGGAAAUGUGUACGGACGCUUUUGAACUCGCCUUUGAGUUGCAUCUGCUGAAAAUAGAAGUAAGCAGAGGCGGUGACGACCGUUACAACGUUCGAGGCCUUUUCAAAAAGGCAAAGUUAGGUGGUACCACGUAGUUUACGUCCUAUAA
rnacentral:ncRNA from 1 species